rnacentral:rRNA from 1 species
GAGUAACACGUGGGUGAUCUGCCCUGUACUUCGGGAUAAGCCUGGGAAACUGGGUCUAAUACCGGAUAUGACCUUACAUCGCAUGGUGUUUGGUGGAAAGAUUUAUCGGUACAGGAUGGGCCCGCGGCCUAUCAUCUUGUUGGUGGGGUAAUGGCCUACCAAGGCGACGACGGGUAGCCGGCCUGAGAGGGCGACCGGCCACACUGGGACUGAGACACGGCCCAGACUCCUACGGGAGGCAGCAGUGGGGAAUAUUGCACAAUGGGCGAAAGCCUGAUGCAGCGACGCCGCGUGAGGGAUGACGGCCUUCGGGUUGUAAACCUCUUUCGACAGGGACGAAGCGCAAGUGACGGUACCUGUAGAAAAAGCACCGGCCAACUACGUGC